GCCGGUGUAGUUCAGAAGUAGAACGCCACCUUGGUACGGUGGAAACGAGGGUGCGAUUCCCUCCGCUGGCUCCA
rnacentral:tRNA from 1 species